UACGUAGGGCGCAAGCGUUGUCCGGAAUUAUUGGGCGUAAAGAGCUCGUAGGCGGCUUGUCACGUCGAUUGUGAAAGCCCGAGGCUUAACCUCGGGUCUGCAGUCGAUCACGGGCUAGCUAGAGUGUGGUAGGGGAGAUCGGAAUUCCUGGUGUAGCGGUGAAAUGCGCAGAUAUCAGGAGGAACACCGGUGGCGAAGGCGGAUCUCUGGGCCAUUACUGACGCUGAGGAGCGAAAGCGUGGGGAGCGAACAGG
rnacentral:rRNA from 1 species